CAGCAGCCGCGGUAAUACGUAGGGUGCAAGCAUUAAUCGGAAUUACCGGGCGUAAAGCGUGCGCAGGCGGUUCUAUAAGGCAGAUGUGAAAUCCCCGGGCUCAACCUGGGAACUGCAUUUGUGACUGUAGAGCUGGAGUGCGGCAGAGGGGGAUGGAAUUCCGCGUGUAGCAGUGAAAUGCGUAGAUAUGCGGAGGAACACCGAUGGCGAAGGCAAUCCCCUGGGCCUGCACUGACGCUCAUGCACGAAAGCGUGGGGAGCAAACAGGAUUAGAUACCCGUGUAGUCCCUGUCUCUUAUAC
rnacentral:rRNA from 1 species